rnacentral:lncRNA from 10 species
AAGAUAGCUGGAGCAUUCACGAUUUCUUUCUACUGGAAGAAUGUCAUAACAUCUAACAAGACAAUUUCACAUGCGCCCAUAUUUUGUCCCUCCUCUUCCCCCAAGCAACUGGAAUUACAGGCCCACGUCACUAUGCCCAGCUAAUUUUUUGUAUUUUUUGUAGAGACAGUGUUUUGCCGUGUGGCUCAGGAUGGUCUCGAACUCCUGGGCUCAGACAAUUCAGCCACCUCAGAUUUAUCAAAUUCCCUCUGGAUUCAUAUCUUAGGUAAAUAUUUAGUAGCCCUACACUAAUUAUUUUAAUCAACAUGGAGUGUAUUUCAAAUGACUACAAAUUGUUCUAACUAAUUAGAUUGAGUACAAAAUAAUAUCUUAUGUAAUAAAUUUGCAGGUGCUCAAAAGAGUGGGAACGAGCCACAGGAUAACGUCUCAGAGACCUAACCACCUGACUUGGUUAGCGAGUACAGCUUUUUCAAAGCUCAGCCAAGAUACUAGGGGAAGUAGCCUGAGAAGGUUUAUUAUCUCUGUCCUGAUUU